AUGUGCAAAAUGAAGCUCUGUGGUAUCC
rnacentral:piRNA from 1 species